rnacentral:rRNA from 1 species
GAUGAACGCUGGCGGCGUGCCUAAUACAUGCAAGUCGAGCGAACGGACGAGAAGCUUGCUUCUCUGAUGUUAGCGGCGGACGGGUGAGUAACACGUGGAUAACCUACCUAUAAGACUGGGAUAACUUCGGGAAACCGGAGCUAAUACCGGAUAAUAUUUUGAACCGCAUGGUUCAAAAGUGAAAGACGGUCUUGCUGUCACUUAUAGAUGGAUCCGCGCUGCACUAGCUAGUUGGUAAGGUAACGGCUUACCAAGGCAACGAUGCAUAGCCGACCUGAGAGGGUGAUCGGCCACACUGGAACUGAGACACGGUCCAGACUCCUACGGGAGGCAGCAGUAGGGAAUCUUCCGCAAUGGGCGAAAGCCUGACGGAGCAACGCCGCGUGAGUGAUAAAGGUCUUCGGAUCGUAAAACUCUGUUAUUAGGGAAGAACAUAUGUGUAAGUAACUGUGCACAUCUUGACGGUACCUAAUCAGAAAGCCACGGCUAACUACGUG